GCGGCGAUCAUGCUCGGGGAGCCGGGACUGGGCCGCGGCGCGGGGUGGCGGGAGCGGGCGGUGCCGAGCAGAGCGGCGCGGGGGGUCGGUGCUCGGCGGGAUGUUCCGUAAGGCGCGGAGGGUGAAUGUGAGGAAGCGGAACGACUCGGAGGAGGAAGACGAGGAGCGCGACGAGGAGCCGCCUCAGGAGCCGGCGCCGGCGGCCGGCACGGGGGGUGAAGGGCCCGGUGAGGCCUCCAUGGCGCUGGCGGCGGGCUCCGGGCUCUUGCCGCUGCCCCCCGGCUGCGUGCCCCUCGCCCUGCCCGGCAGCCCCGCGGCCUUCGCCUGCGCCGCGGGCUACGGCGCGGCUCUCGGCUUGGGGCUGGGCUUGAUGGGAGCCGAUAGGGCUGGCCUGGGGGCCUUGCCGGCGCCCGCCCUCCUGUCCCCCCCGCCGCCGCCGCAGCAGCAGCAGGGCAAUGGGCUGCCGGGGGCCGGGCGCCCCAAGGAGAAGAAGAGGCCUCGGGAGAACAAAGAGGUGCCGCGGGCGAGCCUGCUCAGCUUCCAGGACGAGGAGGAGGAAACUGAAGAGGUUUUUAAAGUGAAGAAAUCAAGUUACAGCAAAAAGAUUGUAAAACAAUUGAAGAAAGAAUACAAAGAAGAUCUUGAAAAAUCAAAAGUUAGAACAGAGGUCAAUUCUCCAACAGAUGUUGAACCACCACUAGACAAGACAGGACAAAUUAAGGAUAUAGGUCAAGAAGAUGGGACUGCAAACAGUGAGCAUGGUGAGGAAGAAAUGGAAGUUGAAAGUGAGAAAGAAGAAGAAAAAACAAAAGCUGGUGGGGCUUUUUCAAGUGCUCUGUCGUCACUGAAUGUUCUCCGCCCAGGAGAAAUUCCAGAUGCUGCAUUUAUUCAUGCUGCUAGGAAAAAACGUCAAAUGGCUCGUGAACUUGGAGACUUUACACCCGUUGACAGUGAACCAGGUAAAAGCCGCCUUGUUCGAGAAGAUGAAAAUGAUGCCAGUGAUGAUGAAGAUGAUGACGAGAAGAGGAGGAUAGUUUUUACAGUGAAGGAAAAAUCCCAAAGGCAAAAGAUUGCUGAGGAAAUAGGCAUUGAGGGAAGCGAUGAUGAAGCACUGGGGGCAGGGGAGCAAGAUGAAGAACUCAGUAGAUGGGAGCAAGAACAGAUACGGAAAGGAAUCAACAUACCUCAGGUUCAACCAAGUCAGCCUGCUGAAGUGAAUAAUCUGUACUACCAGACCACUUACCAGACACUGUCUUACGGUUCAUCAUAUGACGUUCCAUACACUUACGCUGCAUAUGGAUCAUCGGAAACCAAGUCUCAAAAAACAGAUAAUACAGUUCCUUUCAAAACUCCCAGUAAUGAGAUGACUCCUGUUACUAUUGAUUUGGUAAAGAAACAGCUUAAAGACAGGUUGGACUCUAUGAAAGAAUUGCACAAAGCUAAUCGGCAGCAAUAUGAGAAACAUCAGCAAAGCCGAGAGGACUCUACCAAGGCAAUUGAAAGAUUAGAAGGGUCUUCUGGGGGUAUUGGUGAACAGUAUAAGUUUUUGCAAGAAAUGCGAGGGUAUGUCCAAGACUUGCUUGAAUGUUUCAGUGAAAAGGUGCCUCUGAUUAAUGAGCUUGAAUCUGCAAUGCACCAGCUGUACAAACAGCGAGCUUCCCGCCUUGUCCAAAGACGACAAGAUGAUAUUAAAGAUGAAUCUUCGGAGUUUUCAAGCCAUUCAAAUAAAGCCCUGAUGGCACCAAAUCUUGAAUCUUUUGGACGAGACAGAGUGAUCUAUCAAGAACAAGUAAAGCGUCGGACUGCAGAGAGAGAGGCUAGAAGAACUCGCCGUAGACAAGCAAGAGAGCAAACUGGGAAGAUGGCAGAUCACCUUGAAGGCCUCUCCAGUGAUGAUGAGGAAACUUCAACGGAUAUUACAAACUUCAACAUGGAGCGAGAUCGUAUAUUGAAAGAAUCCAGCAAAGUUUUUGAAGAUGUUUUGGAAAGCUUUUACUCAAUUGAUUGUAUCAAGUCACAGUUUGAAGCUUGGCGCUCAAAGUAUUUUGCUUCUUACAAGGAUGCUUAUAUUGGCCUUUGCUUACCAAAGCUGUUUAACCCUUUAAUCAGACUUCAGCUGCUUAUUUGGACUCCUUUGGAGGGCAAGUGUCGAGAUUUUGAGACCAUGUUGUGGUUUGAAUCAUUGCUAUUUUAUGGCUGUGAAGAACAGGAGCAAGUGAAAGAUGAUGCGGAUAUUUCACUGUUGCCUACCAUUGUAGAAAGAGUUGUUCUCCCUAAAUUAACAGUGAUUUCUGAAAAUAUAUGGGAUCCUUUUUCUACAACCCAAACAUCUAGAAUGGUAGAAGUGGUACAGAAACUAGUAGAUGGAUAUCCUUCAGUGGUGAAUGCAGAAAACAAAAAUACACAAAUGCUUUUAAAGGCACUGUUGCUAAGAAUGAGGAGAACACUAGAUGAUGAUGUAUUCAUGCCCUUAUAUCCAAAAAAUAUGAUUCACUGGCUGGAUACAGGAGAUCGUUAUCGUGCUGUGAGGAUUUAGCAAGGACAAGCAGGAUGGAAGGGAAUGUUUAUAGGAAUGAUCUGUGUGUGGGAAGGAGGAAGCCAGCAAACUCCAGACAGAGAUGCUCUUGGUUGCUCAUUAAAGAAAUCUCUUACUUUCCAGCGUCUUAGAAAACAAGAACUCUGGUCCAUAUUUGUUUUUCCAACGUCAGUUUUGGUCCUCUGUCAAGUUAUUAGGAAACUUUCUCCAGUGGUAUGGAAUCCUUUCAAACAAAACUCUUCAGGAAUUGUCAAUAGAUGGUCUGCUAAAUAGAUAUAUUCUUAUGGCUUUUCAAAACUCGGAGUAUGGAGAGGACAGCAUUAAGAAAGCUCAAAGUGUAAUUGCUUGCUUUCCCAAACAGUGGUUCGCUAAUCUAAAAGGAGACAAGACUAUUUCUCAGUUGGAAAACUUCUGUAGAUACCUUGUCCAUCUGGCUGAUACAAUUUAUAGAAACAGCAUUGGUUGCUCUGAUGUAGAGAAGAGAAAUGCAAGGGAGCACAUAAAGCAGAUCAUAAAGCUUCUAGCAAGUAUCCGAGCACUCGAUCAUGCUGUGACAGUUGCGAAUGAUCACAAUGUAAAAGAGUUAAAGAUUUUAAUAGAAGGAAAAUAGACUUUUCUGACAACUCAUUUUGAGCUUUAAAACCAUUCCUGAUGUGUAAUUUAUGUACAUAUGUAAAGUUUCUUAAACUGUAAAGUAUUGAUCUUUGUUUUAAUACAAAGUGCAUUCUUAUAUACAGCAUCCUUAAAGAAAAAAAAAUUUGACUUACUUGAAAACAAAAAUGGAAUCCCAAGAUUGUCAUCUUUCCAGAAAUCAGAUUUUCCUUAAAGUUUCUCAAAAUCUUGUUUACAAAAAUGCUUUGUACCCAUGAUUAGUAGUCAUCUACUCCUGUUAAUUGUUCCAUGGUUAACUGGAAUGUGUAUAUUAUAUUAUGUGUAAUGCAAUGUAUGCAUAUAUUUAUACCACCAUGUUGCUUUCACACUGGAUAUAGAGAUCUUGUACUGUUCAAUAAGCUUUUCAAGCUUUUUGUUUGCUAAAAAAAUACUUAUUUUGUCAAUAAAAUGAUCAUAGUAUUGGUCAAAAGGGCUGGCAAAACAUUCAAAAAUGUGAAAAUCCUUUGAGCUAGAGUAGAGACACUUUCAAAUGGAACCUGACCUUUAAAAAGCAGUUGUGUUGCACUCAUUGCAAUAGCUAAAACAUUAUUUGCAUUCAGAAUAUGGAACUCUUAAGACCGUUCUUAGAAAUAAAAGAAAGGAAAACCCAAAUCAAUACUGCUUUUUUUUGGUACAGGCAUACAAUAAGAGCUUGUGAUUAUUGCACAAGUAUACAUGACAGCACUUCCUAGACCCCAAACACCUUUCAUUUUGUAGGAGUAAUAGUUUAGCCAUGACCUCUGGGCCCUCAUUCCUUUUGCUCACUGUUUGUGGUUUGGUUUUUUUUUGGUUUUGUUAGUUGUUGGGUAUUUUUUUUCAUAUGUGGAACCUGUUUCUUCUGAUUGGCAUGGCUAAAGAUGUCAAACAAAAUGAAGGUGAAGAAAAUCGUAUAUCCUGUGGUUUGAAGUAUUUAUAUUGUACUAAAUAUCAAAAUGUUACACUGUCCACUAAAUACCACCUAAGAAUAGUCUUGCAAAACAAAACAUGUAAUUUGGAUGUAAAUUAAAAAGAAAACAACUUAAAAAUCUGGUGGUUUACAGCAAAACACUAGUGACUUGGUCUUGUGGUCCAAGGCAUGGGAUUAGCUGUAAUGGCCUUGGAUUAAGAGCUAUUUCCAGGUGUGCCCUGCAUUUGGGGGGAUCUGUAGCAAUAAAUUGGCAUACUGAAUAACGUAAGAAAUCAUUGUAUUCUAUGCUCAUGUUGUGGUAUAAAUGAGUAUAUUAAAAAUGUACAAUUUGUAACUUGCACACUUCAUUUGGACACUGAACCAUUGUUUUUUUGAACUGUUGGGAUUGAUGGACUACAUUCAGAAAUACCUGCUUUUAAAAAUUGUUUCAAUAAACUCGUCUGUCAAGGA